rnacentral:rRNA from 1 species
GAUGAACGCUGGCGGCGUGCCUAAUACAUGCAAGUCGAGCGAACGGACGAGAAGCUUGCUUCUCUGAUGUUAGCGGCGGACGGGUGAGUAACACGUGGAUAACCUACCUAUAAGACUGGGAUAACUUCGGGAAACCGGAGCUAAUACCGGAUAAUAUUUUGAACCGCAUGGUUCAAAAGUGAAAGACGGUCUUGCUGUCACUUAUAGAUGGAUCCGCGCUGCAUUAGCUAGUUGGUAAGGUAACGGCUUACCAAGGCAACGAUGCAUAGCCGACCUGAGAGGGUGAUCGGCCACACUGGAAAUGAGACACGGUCCAGACUCCUACGGGAGGCAGAAGUAGGGAAUCUUCCGCAAUGGGCGAAAGCCUGACGGAGCAACGCAGCGUGAGUGAUGAAGGUCUUCGGAUCGUAAAACUCUGUUAUUAGGGAAGAACAUAUGUGUAAGUAACUGUGCACAUCUUGACGGUACCUAAUCAGAAAGACACGGCUAACUACGUG